UACGUAGGGGGCAAGCGUUGUCCGGAAUCAUUGGGCGUAAAGAGCGCGUAGGCGGUCCGGUAAGUCCGCUGUGAAAGUCCGGGGCUCAACCCUGGGAUGCCGGUGGAUACUGUCGGGCUAGAGUCCGGAAGAGGCGAGUGGAAUUCCUGGUGUAGCGGUGAAAUGCGCAGAUAUCAGGAGGAACACCUAUGGCGAAGGCAGCUCGCUGGGACGGUACUGACGCUGAGGCGCGAAAGCGUGGGGAGCGAACAGGAUUAGAUACCCGUGUAGUCC
rnacentral:rRNA from 1 species